GACGAACGCUGGCGGCGUGCUUAACACAUGCAAGUCGAACGGAAAGGCCCUGCUUUUGUGGGGUGCUCGAGUGGCGAACGGGUGAGUAACACGUGAGUAACCUGCCCUUGACUUUGGGAUAACUUCAGGAAACUGGGGCUAAUACCGGACAGGAGCUCCCGCUGCAUGGUGGGGGUUGGAUAGUUUCGGCGGUUGGGGAUGGAUUCGCGGCUUACCAGCUUGUUGGUGGGGUAGUGGCUUACCAAGGCUUUGACGGGUAGCCGGCCUGUGAGGGUGACCGGCCACAUUGGGACUGAGGUACGGCCCAGACUCCUACGGGAGGCAGCAGUGGGGAGUAUUGCACAGUGGGCGGGAGCCUGAGGCAGCAACGCCGCGUGCGGGAUGACGGCCUUCGGGUUGUAAACCGCUUUCGCCUGUGACGAAGCGUGAGUGACGGUAAUGGGUAAAGAAGCACCGGCUAACUACGUG
rnacentral:rRNA from 1 species